NNAUCCCGUGAACCAUCGAGUCUUUGAACGCAAGUUGCGCCCGAAGCCUUCGGGCCGAGGGCACGCCUGCCUGGGCGUCACGCAUCGCGUCGCCCCCCCCACCCGCGGGGGGGGCGGAGACUGGCCUCCCGUGCGCCUCCGUCGCGCGGCCGGCCC
rnacentral:rRNA from 1 species